GACGAACCGUGCAAACGUUAUUCGGAAUCACUGGGCUUAAAGCGUGCGUAGGCGGCUCAGAAAGUUGGGUGUGAAAUCCCUCGGCUCAACCGAGGAAUUGCGCCCAAAACUACUGAGCUUGAGGGAGUUAGAGGUGAGCGGAACUCACGGUGGAGCGGUGAAAUGCGUUGAUAUCGUAAGGAACACCGGAGGCGAAAGCGGCUCACUGGGGCUUUUCUGACGCUGAGGCACGAAAGCUAGGGGAGCAAACGGGAUUAGAAACCCGGGUAGU
rnacentral:rRNA from 1 species